rnacentral:rRNA from 1 species
UACAGAGGUCUCAAGCGUUGUUCGGAUUCAUUGGGCGUAAAGGGUGCGUAGGCGGCGCGGUAAGUCGGGUGUGAAAUCUCGGAGCUUAACUCCGAAACUGCAUUCGAUACUGCCGUGCUUGAGGACUGGAGAGGAGACUGGAAUUUACGGUGUAGCGGUGAAAUGCGUAGAUAUCGUAAGGAAGACCAGUGGCGAAGGCGGGUCUCUGGACUGGUACUGACGCUGAGGCGCGAAAGCGUGGGGAGCAAACGGG